rnacentral:rRNA from 1 species
AACGAACGCUGGCGGCAUGCCUAACACAUGCAAGUCGAACGAGACCUUCGGGUCUAGUGGCGCACGGGUGCGUAACGCGUGGGAACCUGCCCUUAGGUUCGGAAUAACUCCCCGAAAGGGGUGCUAAUACCGGAUAAUGUCUUCGGACCAAAGAUUUAUCGCCUUUGGAUGGGCCCGCGUUGGAUUAGCUAGUUGGUAGGGUAAAAGCCUACCAAGGCGACGAUCCAUAGCUGGUCUGAGAGGAUGAUCAGCCACACUGGGACUGAGACACGGCCCAGACUCCUACGGGAGGCGGCAGUGGGGAAUAGUGGACAAUGGGCGAAAGCCUGAUGCAGCAAUGCCGCGUGAGUGAUGAAGGCCUUAGGGUUGUAAAGCUCUUUUAACCGGGAUGAUAAUGACAGUACCGGGAGAAUAAGCCCCGGCUAACUCCGUG